rnacentral:lncRNA from 1 species
GUUUAGGGUUUAAGGUUUAGCGUUUAGAGUUUAGGGUUUAGGGUUUAGAGUUUAGAUUUUAGGGUUUAGGGUUUAGGGUUUAGGAUUUAGGGUUUAGGGUUUAGAGUUUAGGGUUUAGGGUUUAUGGUUUAGGGUUUAGGGUUUAAAGUUGAGAAAUGAGGUUUUGGGGAUAAGAUUUCUAAUUUUGAAAAUAAAAAAAUUAAAAUUUUCAAAGGAUAAACUUAGAAAGGUGCUAUUUUGGUCAUUUUCGUUUUUGAGUGCUAUUUUUGUGAUAUAAACUUAGAAAGGUGUUAUUUUGGAGAUUUGCCCUUUUACUAAUCAAAUGAAAAAUAUUAUAAUUAUUGUAUGAACAAGAAAAAUGAGUGAUGACAUUUGGUGAGAAUGUACCGAAAAAUUACAUGUCGGCGAUAGCUAAAUAGAA